rnacentral:rRNA from 1 species
AUUGAACGCUGGCGGAAUGCUUUACACAUGCAAGUCGAACGGCAGCACGGGGGCAGCCCUGGUGGCGAGUGGCGAACGGGUGAGUAAUACAUCGGAACGUGCCCGGUCGUGGGGGAUAACGUAGCGAAAGUUACGCUAAUACCGCAUACGCUCUGAGGAUGAAAGCGUGGGACCUUCGGGCCUCGCGCGAUCGGAGCGGCCGAUGUCAGAUUAGGUAGUUGGUGGGGUAAAGGCCUACCAAGCCGACGAUCUGUAGCUGGUCUGAGAGGACGACCAGCCACACUGGGACUGAGACACGGCCCAGACUCCUACGGGAGGCAGCAGUGGGGAAUUUUGGACAAUGGGCGCAAGCCUGAUCCAGCCAUUCCGCGUGCAGGACGAAGGCCUUCGGGUUGUAAACUGCUUUUGUACGGAACGAAAAGGCUCUGGCUAAUACCUGGGGCUCAUGACGGUACCGUAAGAAUAAGCACCGGCUAACUACGUG